GGGCUCGUAAUGGCUUCGACGGGGAAACAGAGGCAUGACAAGCGUGGCAGGCCGAGUAAUCCUGUAAACUGCUCAACUUUAAAAAAUAAACGACAACGAAUCUGUUGCUGUAGCUGCCUAACCGCAGCGUCGCGGAGGUGCGCCUCCGCCCGUUCUCCCCGAGCUAAUCGCGGCUUGGGAUCAGAACGUCAUUAAGGCGAUGAACGUGUGAUUCGGGAGCCAUACCGGACCGCAUGUAUUUCUGGCUACCGCUCUUUCAGUGGGCUCCCAUACUGAAGGAGAGGGGAAUUUGAUUUGAGAGCUGCCCACGGAGAAAAUUGUGUUGAAGUUUUUUCGGACAGGGGUUCGACUCCCCUCGGGUCCAUC
rnacentral:tmRNA from 1 species